UGGGGAAUUUUGGACAAUGGGCGAAAGCCUGAUCCAGCAAUGCCGCGUGUGUGAAGAAGGCCUUCGGGUUGUAAAGCACUUUUGUCCGGAAAGAAAUCCUUGGCUCUAAUACAGUCGGGGGAUGACGGUACCGGAAGAAUAAGCACCGGCUAACUACGUGCCAGCAGCCGCGGUAAUACGUAGGGUGCAAGCGUUAAUCGGAAUUACUGGGCGUAAAGCGUGCGCAGGCGGUUUGCUAAGACCGAUGUGAAAUCCCCGGGGCUCAACCUGGGAACUGCAUUGGUGACUGGCAGGCUAGAGUGUGGCAGAGGGGGGUAGAAUUCCACGUGUAGCAGUGAAAUGCGUAGAGAUGUGGAGGAAUACCGAUGGCGAAGGCAGCCCCCUGGGCCAAUACUGACGCUCAUGCACGAAAGCGUGGGGAGCAAACAGGAUUAGAUACCCUGGUAGUCCACGCCCUAAACGAUGUCAACUAGUUGUUGGGGAUUCAUUUCCUUAGUAACGUAGCUAACGCGUGAAGUUGACCGCCU
rnacentral:rRNA from 1 species